UGUCCUAAAAUGAAAUAACUCGCGACUCUAUGAAGAGGAAAUUAAAGAUAUGUAGAUAUCGAGAGUUAUGUCCAGCAGUCUGCAGCAUAAAGACACUCAGUUCAUCAUAGAAACCAAAGGUGGACACGCAGUGUUUUAUAAUUCAGGCCUGGAACAACAGAGAUGUGGAGAACAUGCUGAUGGAUCACCACACCA